GCCCGGUUAGCUCAAUCGGUAGAGCGUGAGACUCUUAAUCUCAAGGUUGCGGGUGAGUUUACCCUGCCUCUGAUU